GAUGAACGCUGGCGGCGUGCCUAACACAUGCAAGUCGAACGGAGGCGUUUUGGAAAUCUCUUCUGAGAUGGAAUUCUCGACUUAGGGGCGGACGGGUGAUUAACGCGUGAUCAAUCGGCCUUGAAGAGGGGGAGAACAGUCCGAAACUACUGCUAAUACCGCAUAAAUCAUUAAAUUCGCAUUUUUUUGAUGGCAAGGUAGCAAUCCGCUUUUAGAUGAGCUCGCGUCUGAUUAGCUAGGUGGCGGGGUACCGACCCACCAAGGCGACGUUCAGUAGCCGGAUUGAGCGGAUGAACGGCCAAAUUGCGACUGGGACACGGCAGAGACGCAUACGGGAGGAAGGAGUGGAGACUAUUGCGGAAAGGGGGCAAGCGUGACGAAGCAACGCCGGUUGAUUGAAGAAGGUCUUCGGGUAGUAAAGAUCUUUAAUAAGGGACGGAUCAACUGACGGUACCUAAAGAAUAAGCUCCGGCUAACUACGUG
rnacentral:rRNA from 1 species